GUUUUAAUAAUUUAAAUAAAAUAUUGAUCUUGUAAAUCAAAAAUAAAGUAAGCUUUUUAAAACU
rnacentral:tRNA from 1 species